rnacentral:piRNA from 1 species
UCCUAACAACAAAUCCCAUUUCAGGUUCAGA